rnacentral:antisense_RNA from 1 species
GUACGAUGUGAGCGGGCAAGAAAACACAAGCUGGCUUACAGGUGGAACACCUGAGAGUCCCCAGAGAGGACCCAUGACAGAGAGCUGAGACAUGGAUGGACACGAGCCCCAGAGAGACUUCAGGUAAUUCUUCUCUUCAAGUAAUGCCUCCCCAACUAGUACGUUCUAUAAGGACGAGGAUCAUAUCCCUUCAUGCUCACCACUCUAUCCCCAAAGCCCAACACUCUACUGCUUGACUGAGAGCAGGUAUUGCAGAAAGAACAAAGAGAGAGGAAGUUGGGCACUCCAUAAGUCCAUUAGCCUUCAUCAAAGGUGAACCUCCCAACUCAAUGUUUGACAUGUGAAAAAAAAAGCAGAUCUGGCUGGAGCAGAUUCAGAAAACCUCUUAUCUCCCCCAGGCGGAUGAUGUGCCCACCGACCACAUCAGCCACGUGAGAUCCAGUGCGACAGUGGAGCAUGUGUGUGUAGAGGAGACAGGAACAACAACCUGGAUGUCAUGCGGGCCCACUGGGGCUCCUUGUGGCCCCAGUGCACAGAAUUCUGGUGGACCCACCAUGUGUGGGAGCUCAGUGAGACUCAAAGUAAGUGCAAGGCCCUCCUCACACAUCGUAAGCUGAAGGUGGAGCAUACUGGGAAAAUGUGCAUGCCUCAAGAAGAAAAAUGAAAACUGAUUUUGUGCAACAUUUCCACUGUUCUUGGAAGAAUGAAAUAAAUGCAUAUGAGCUAUGAAA